rnacentral:lncRNA from 1 species
GGUCUGCGGAGGCCGGGGUGGGCACCGAGGUGGCCGCGAGGGGAGGGGAGAAGAGCGGAGCGGAGGGGAGGGGACGCGGCCGAGGUGGGGCUGGCGGCCCGGCGGGUUCCACGCAGGCUGGGGGCGGAGGGCCAGAUCGACCCCAGCCGGGGCGGCCGAGCAGGGUCCACGGGGGUCGGGGAUGGGCGGCCAGGCGGGGUCGGAGGGACGAAAGCCGGGGUGAACCUGCGCCGCGGGCCAAGCGCGACCCCCUCCCUUCCCGACCUGUGCGGAGAGGAGAGAAAUGAAGGGGGGCGCCCAAGGAGCCCUGGCCCCGGGAGUGGGAGUCAGCGGGUGGGAACAGAUCGCCCUUCCUUUCCGCUGGGAAUUGGGGGACUCCCCCUGCUUUCACUCUCCCAGCCCGCCAUGGGGUUGGGCCUUGUCCUUUGCCUUGGGUUUGAAGGCGGAGACAAAAAAGGCUGUCCAAAAUCCAGCCAGCUUGGGAGGCAUGGUUGAUGCGAGUUAGCAAAGAUUCUCGACUGUGGUAAGUCUGUUCAAGGGGACGCAUUCACCAAGUGUCCCCGUUAGCCAAGUUAGCCUGCUGUGGCCAGCUCUUUACUUUUUCCCCCCGAAGCCCCUUCAGCUCUGUUUUCUCUUUCGGGGUCAUGAAGUUUGUCCACGGCCCCUACUCCUGACAGCCUCUGGGAUGGGUGCUGCGGAGGCAGCAGCAGCCACACAGAAAGAGGCAGAUCAGCGUUGUCACCCCUACUUUUGUAAAAGGAAAUCUGGUAUUGCCAGGCUGUGUGGUUAGCGACUCACAUAUGUUCUCGAAAUCUCACAAAAGCCCUGUGAGGUAGAAAUUAUUUUACCCAUUUUAUAGGAAGGAAAUUGAGACUGAGCGAGCCGGCUUCGGAUUGGCUCAAGGUCACAUAUAGUCAUCAUUCGAACCUCACUCAGUCUGCUUCUUUCUGAAGUCUGUGCAGCUUAAUCACUUCAGAAUGGGAAGGAAACGGGGGCCCAGGGAAGUUAAGCAACUUGCCCACUCACUCAGUCUAAUUGGUGCCGGGGCAGGGACAGAACUCACUCAAUUCCACUGCUUUCCCCAGUUUCUGGUGUUGCUAAAAGCCUCCAGUGAAUGAAUGAACACUUGUGUGCCUGCCCUCAAGGAGCCUGCACUACACUUGGAGAUAUAUACAGAAACCUGUUGAGGGCUAACUUAGGUUGGCAAGGCCCCCAGUGGCCAAGGCAUGAGCCUGGAUGCCCUGCAAAUUGAGUACGUGUUAGGGAUGGGGGCCAUUCUUUAU